AAGUCGCCCAUUUAAUUUACGUUGGUGAAUUAUGCGGCUCUCAAUUCCCCCAAAGUUAAUUUCUUAAUUUUAAAGUUAGUGUACCAAACUCCACAUUUACCGGCAACAUAAACCGGUUUUCCAUCAUGUCGGAGAUGCAACUGCUCAGACUGCUGGUCAACGAGCGACUGGCAGCGGCUGCCGAGGAAAUCUUAGGACUCGUUGAGAGGACGAUUGAGGAGUAUCAGGAUGAAGCUGUCCGCUCCAACAGAGAAGUCAUCCAGCUGAGACAGCAGAUCGAGCAGCUGACAGUUUUAAAACCUGAAGUAGUAUUAUUCAGAGCAGACACCCAGCUGGCCUCUGAGGGACUGCCUCCUUCACUGCAGCAACAUGACAAGAAGAUGGAAGAGACCCCCUCUCUGAAUGAAACAGAGUUUCAAAAGCACCCACAGGUCAAAGAGGAGCAGGUGGAUGAGUAUAUCAGUCCAGACGAUGAGGCUGAUACUUCUGAGGAUGCUGACCUCUGUAGAGAAAUCAACCAACUGAAACAGCAGAUCGAGCAGCUGACUGCUCUAAAAUGUGAAGGAACACUAUUCAGAGCAGACACCUGGGCAGUCUCUGAGGACAUCAUGCCUUCACAGCAGCCAAACCAGCUUCCCACUGUGGAGGAAAAAGAGACUUAUGAUUCUCAGCAAGUCAGAGAGGAGCAGGUGGAUCAGUGCAUCAGUCCAGACAUAGAGGCUGAUACUCCCAGUGUUACUGAAGUCAGAUAUCCUACAUCAGAACCAACCAUUAACUGUGAGCUGCUCCCAUCUUCCAUGGAUGUAACUGUGAGUUUAAACAAAAGCGCAGACAACAGCUGGAACCAAAGAGAAAUUUCACCAUGGCCUCCUCAGCAUCACAGUGUUGCACUUUUCAUUGGACUGGAGCAGCCUCCAAGGGGAGAAAGAUCUUGCCGUUUUUGUGGCAAACAUUUCACGAAGGACUCUUAUCUUAUAAGGCAUGUAGAUACGAGUCACAACGGGCACAAAGCCUUUAAAUGCCUGGAGUGCAACAAGGAGUUUGAACAAAGGUAUUACCUUGUUAUGCAUACAAGAAUUCACACGGGUGAAAAACCCUUUAGUUGUGAUUACUGUGACAGAACAUUCAGUCAGAACUCAAGUCGUCUUGUUCACAUGAGAAGGCACACUGGAGAGAAGCCAUACUUUUGUAACAAAUGUGGCAAAAGCUUUGCCCAAAGCAAUCAUCUCAGAAUCUGCAAAACAAGGAGUGAGUGCAACAUCACACCGGAAGAAAUGAAUAUAUCUGAGGAUCACAAAGACAGGAAUGCUUUUAAAUGCUCUGAAUGCAACAAGGAGUUUAAAAUGAGGCAACAGCUUGUUCUGCAUAUGAGAGUCCACACCGGGGAGAAACCCUACAGCUGUGACUUUUGUGGCAAAAGUUUCACUCAGAGCUCUAACUGUAUUGUUCACAUGAGAAAGCACACUGGAGAGAAGCCCUAUUUUUGUCAGAAAUGUGGGAGGAGUUACACUUACAGCCAGCACGAAAAAUACUGCAAGGGCACACAAAACGAAAGCACAAACAAAUCUGUUCGCUGCACAGCAUGUGGCAAAGACCUUCACACAGAGUCAAAUCUGAAGCUGCAUAUGGAGGUUCACAAGUCAUGGAGGCGACACAUCAUUGAGAAACGGCAAGGACAAGAGUAACAAGAGAAAAAACUUCAAGGUCAGUCAGUCUAUUUUUGAUAAAAUCUGCAGUCCAGUAUUAAGGAAUGACCUGCUCCAGCUACAGCCUCUCACAGACGCAAUAUAUUUGUUUAAACGUUGCUGAAUAAGAAACUAUUCACCAGUUUGUUUUGAUACAAUUCAAAGUUUUGGCUGUGUUAGUUAUGAUUUGACUGAUUAAUAUUGAGCAAAUGGUUUUUGUACCUUGGUGCUGGAGAUGCAAAUUAACCGUUCCAGAUGAUCUUCACUCCAUGCUUUGUUCAACCAAUUGCUGUUAACAUGUAACUGGUGUUCAGAUGGUUGUAACAUCACUGCAGUUACAUAUAACUGAGAUUGUGUCUUCAAAAGUUGCAUUUGGAUCUGUUUCAUUUUUUCAGCACAGAAAACAAAGUGAUUAUCAACAUCCAGGUUUAUUUCUUAAGUUGAUUUGACCUGGUAGAUACUAAAGUAUCCUUUAGAGCAGGGGUGUCAAACUCUCUGUAGUUCAUGGGCCACAUACAGCCCAAUUUUUUCCCUUUUUUGUGUUAAGAAUUACAAGUAGAUCCUGCAGACGUUCAUCCUUCUACAAAACAGAUGAACAGCCUGAGAUGUCUGAAGAAAAAUAAGUUUAAUUCAACAGUAUGUCUCAGUUUUUCCACAUUCAGUCAGUUUACUUCCCACUGUCAUUACAUGUGCAUUUAUCCACACAUUUCCUGAUACAGAUUCUUUUGAACUGAAGCUGCUGAUUGACAAUAUUUUGCACAUUGUUCAAUAUCUUUAAACAUGGUCACGGUGAGUAUUCAUUGUUAUAUCAAAGAACUGUAUCCUAGUCAGGGUGGAAAAGCUUCUGAAGCAGAAUUUUGCAUAAAUUAGGCAACACAUUGUUUAACUUGCUUUUGAAACCUGGCACCUCUAAGUCUAGUCAUCUAGUGGGCUACAUUGGACCCAUUGGUUGGCUGGUUCUGGUCCACAGGCCGUAUGUUUGACACCCCUGCUUUAGUGCCUCGCUUGUAUAACAAGUUCAAAGAUGUUCGACAUGAGCAAAUCAGUGUUUAAGGCAUUCAUCAGUUUUUCCUUGUCUUUAUCCAGCUUAGACUGAGCCAGGAAUUGUUGCUGUUGUGGUCCUAUAAGCCCAUUAAAGCAUCAGCUGUGUUACUGAGUUUCACAAAUAACCACAUCUUCACACAGUGCAAAUAAUAAACUUGCAGUGAGACCAAACUGUGUUCCUUUUGCGCUCAUUCAGUGUCUAACUUGUUCUGAGGGUUUUCAGUUUCAUAUUUUGCUCUUAAGAUAACAAUCAGCGAUUGUAAAGUGGACAAAAUAAAACGCACGAGUUAUUUUUCAUAGUUUGUUGAUAGUUAUUUGUUGUCCACUAGUGGCAGCCGUGAGUCCUCCACGCCGGCAGGGGGCGCUGUUGCAAAUUAAAUCUACGUGAUGACGUUGAACCGGACGCUCUAACUAGCGUCAAAUUUUCAGUUUAUGUGAACGAAUAAUGUGAAUUUUGGGUCCCCAAAGAGUUUAAUUCUUUAUUUUGAAGCGCCAAACUCCACAUUUAGCGGUAAUAUUAGCCGGUCUUCCAUCAUGUCGGGGACAAAGCUGCUCAGACUGCUGGUCAACGAGCGAUUGGCAGCGGCUGCCGAGGAAAUCUUUGGACUCGUUGAGAGGACGAUAGCGGAGUAUCAGGAUGAAGCUGUCCGCUUCAAGAGAGAAGUCAUCCAGCUGAGACAGCAGAUCGAGCAGCUGACCGUUUUAAAACCUGAAGUUAUAUUAUUCAGAGCAGACACUCAGUCAGCCUCAGAGAAGAUUUUGCCUUCACAACAGCCAGACCAGCUUCCCAAUGUGGAGGAGAGCGACACCCAUGAUGACUCCCAGCUGGUCAAACAGGAGCAGGUGGAUCAGUGCAUCAGUCAAGACAUGGAGGCUGAUACUUGCAAUGAUCCUGAAGUCAUAUAUCCCAUAUCAGAACCAACCACUGACUGUGAGCUGCUCCCAUCUUCCACGGCUGUGACUGUGAGUGAAAAUGAAAGCACAGAUGACAAAUGGAAUGAAAGAGAUGAUUUGUGGUCGCCUUGUCAGAAUCAGCAGGUGCAUCAUCACAUCACCCCAGACUUGACGGAUGAUUCUUCUGACGAUGUAAAAGUCAGAAUUACAAAAUCAGAAACAGCUGCUCAGUCUGAUUUCCACCUGAUGCCACCUGUCAGCAGUAUAACAGUGACAUUUACUGAUGAUGAAUGGAAUGGAAGUGACGUUGCCAUAACGGAGCAGCAGCGGGAGCAAAAGACUUGUCGUUUCUGUGGCAAGUUUUUUAACAGGGACUCUGAUCUGAUCAGACACGUUGAAAAGAUUCACAUGAGUACGAGGGCCUUUCAGUGCUCUGAAUGUGACAAAGAGUUUGCUUGUAGGAGCCAUCUGGAUGCGCAUGUAAGAAUUCACACAGGUGAAAAGCCACACAAGUGUUCUUUCUGUAGUAAAUCUUUCACUCAAAGGUCAAAUCUCAACGUCCACGUUCGGCUGCACACUGGUGAAAAGCCGUAUUUUUGCAAAGCGUGCGGCAAAAAGGUUGCCUAUAGCUCUCACCUCAAAACGUGCGGUAUGAAGGAGCUCAGAGGGAAGGACUCGUUUUGCUGUUUGGUUUGUGGUGAAGAGUUUCACACUGCUUCAAAACUGUGGGUCCACAAGAGGAUCCAUGAAGCCGGGAAACCCCACACUGUUUUCUCGCCUUUGGACUGAUCACCGGGCUGAAUUGACAUUUGUUUCCAGGGUAUCUGCAGAACCUUUUAAAAGUCUCAACAUUUCUUAAAUUCAGUUUUGUAAAUACUCGGCCCUAAAAGUUAUUAAAUGAUCUUAAAUUUGAAAUUCUGAGGUUUUUAUUGCUACAAACAUUUCAUCUGAUUUUAUCCAUCUUUUUUUUUUUUUGUCAAAAUAAAACAUCUGGAUCUGGGGAAUUUGGAGGUCGGAUUGAUGCGUUGAGCUCUUCGUCACGUUCUUUGGAGCAGUUUUGGCAGUGUAGCAUGGCGCAUUGUUCUGCUUGGGAGGCCACUGCCAUCAAAUGGUAUCCACAUGACUGCCAAGAACCAAAAGUUUCUCAGCAGAGCAUUGCAUUGUAGCAAGAUGAUCAGUGUUAUUCACUUCACCUGCCAGUGGUUUUGGUUAAAAGUUUGCUUGAAAAAGGUCAUUAAAGCAUUAGAUUUAAGUGUCCGAUACCUGAAGACACCCUGGUUUCACUUUAUUCAUUAUUUCUUAAUUUCUUAGUUAAUAUUUCUAAACAAGUUUUUAAAAAAUGAAGGUGCCGAAUCAGAGGUUUGGAGCAAAAAGACAAACAAUUACAGCCAUUUUAGAAAUUGCCUCUGUUUAAGACCUCAGCCUUUUCAGUCCACUUUUGUUGAGAUCUCUGAGCACUUCAAGCCUUACUGUUUUUAGUCCUGUUACUGCUCAUGUUUAUUUUGCACCUCUUUGUUAAUGAAAUAAACUAUUUUUCCUA